rnacentral:rRNA from 1 species
CAGCAGCCGCGGUAAUACGUAGGUGGCAAGCGUUGUCCGGAAUUAUUGGGCGUAAAGGGCUCGCAGGCGGUUUCUUAAGUCUGAUGUGAAAGCCCCCGGCUCAACCGGGGGGGUCAUUGGAAACUGGGAAACUUGAGUGCAGAAGAGGAGAGUGGAAUUCCACGUGUAGCGGUGAAAUGCGUAGAGAUGUGGAGGAACACCAGUGGCGAAGGCGACUCUCUGGUCUGUAACUGACGCUGAGGAGCGAAAGCGUGGGGAGCGAACAGGAUUAGAUACCCCGGUAGUCCCUGUCUCUUAUACC